rnacentral:rRNA from 1 species
AUUGAACGCUGACGGCAGGCCUAACACAUGCAAGUCGAACGAGUGGCGGACGGGUGAGUAAUGUCUGGGAAACUGCCUGAUGGAGGGGGAUAACUACUUGACACGGUAGCUAAUACCGCAUACCAUCAGAUGUGCCCAGAUGGGAUUAGCUUGUUGGUGGGGUAACGGCGCACCAAGGCGACGAUCCCUAGCUGGUCUGAGAGGAUGACCAGCCACACUGGAACUGAGAUACGGUCCAGACUCCUACGGGAGGCAGCAGUGGGGAAUAUUGCCCAAUGCGGGCAAGCCUGAUGCAGCCAGGCCGCGUGUAUGAAGAAGGCUUUCUGGUGGUAAAGUACGGUCAGCGGGGAGGCGUUACCCGUAGAAGAAGCACCGGCUAACUCCGUGCCAGCAGCCGCGGUAAUUC